CCUACGGGUGGCAGCAGUGGGGAAUAUUGGACAAUGGGCGAAAGCCUGAUCCAGCCAUGCCGCGUGUGUGAAGAAGGCCUUCGGGUUGUAAAGCACUUUCAGUGGGGAAGAAAGCCUUGGGGCUAAUACCCUCGAGGAAGGACAUCACCCACAGAAGAAGCACCGGCUAACUCCGUGCCAGCAGCCGCGGUAAUACGGAGGGUGCGAGCGUUAAUCGGAAUUACUGGGCGUAAAGCGCGCGUAGGCGGUCUGAUAAGCCGGUUGUGAAAGCCCCGGGCUCAACCUGGGAACCGCAUCCGGAACUGUCAGGCUAGAGUGCAGGAGAGGAAGGUAGAAUUCCCGGUGUAGCGGUGAAAUGCGUAGAGCUCGGGAGGAAUACCAGUGGCGAAGGCGGCCUUCUGGACUGACACUGACGCUGAGGUGCGAAAGCGUGGGGAGCAAACAGGAUUAGAUACCCCAGUAGUC
rnacentral:rRNA from 1 species